rnacentral:lncRNA from 1 species
AUGGAGGACUGUGAAGCACAGUCACUCAUGGCUCAGCUUGGCUCUUCUGUCUUAUUACCAUGUCUCUUUACAACGAAAGGCUUCGACUGGGUCACCUGGGCUCAUGUGCAUGAGCUGGACCUGGACACGGUCCAGGACCUGGUUGGUCUUUCAACUGAAGGGCGAGUUAAGUUCCUGGACCCCAGACAUGGUCGAGUGAAAACCUUUCCUAACCAGGCCUCAGUGGGGAACUUCUCCAUCUGCAUCGAUGAGCUGAGAGAGUCUGAUUUUGGUUUUUACAUCUGCAAGAAGGAGAAUAAAUGUGUCUCAGUGAAGCUGCAUGCAGACAAAGGUACACUACAUGCAAAUGUGUGGUCGCUGAUUUCCAUCUGUGUUGGUGUGGCCGCGCUCAUCCUGCUGUGUCUUUUUGGCUACUGCUGCUAUGAAAGCCUGCGCAACAAAAGAAGUCAGGACGACGCAAACAACACUGGUCCCAGUGCUCCACCGCAGGAACAAGGUCAUGAGCACCACAUGGGGGCAGACGAUAAUAGUCUUGUUUAUGAAAAUGAUGACCAGUACAUGGUCACCAGGGACCCAACCAGAAACCAGUCUGCUCCAGCAGGAAUUCUGCAGCAUUCCAGUGGAGCUCAGUCCAGCCAAAGCAACGUCGGGAUUUAUCCAAACAUAGAAGAAUUCAAAUUUGAAAGGGUGGAAAGUCAGAGAACAAGGAGAUUCCAUAUAGAGCUCAUUAGCAGGUUACGGCAAGCAAGUCUAAGUCGACAUUUUUAUGCCAACCAGCAAGAGAUCAACAAGCAACAAGCCAUGGCGCCCUGCUCAGAGAAUCAAGGAGCCCGGAAAGCCAAAAACACUGUUCUUGCCUCCGACGGCGACUACCAGAACCCCAUUUACAACAGGAGCAUGGACCAGCUCAACCGACUGUAG